AACGAACGCUGGCGGCGUGCCUAACACAUGCAAGUCGAACGUGAUUGGGGAGCUUGCUCCUCAUGAAAGUGGCGCACGGGUGAGUAACGCGUAGAUAAUCUACCUGAUGAUUCGGGAUAACACUUCGAAAGGGGUGCUAAUACGGGAUAAGCCCACGGAGUCUUUGGACACUGCGGGAAAAGGAGGGGACCUUCGGGCCUUCCGUCAUCAGAUGAGUCUGCGUACCAUUAGCUAGUUGGUAGGGUAAAGGCCUACCAAGGCGACGAUGGUUAGCUGGUCUGAGAGGAUGAUCAGCCACACUGGAACUGAGACACGGUCCAGACUCCUACGGGAGGCAGCAGUGGGGAAUUUUGCGCAAUGGGGGAAACCCUGACGCAGCAACGCCGCGUGAGUGAUGAAGGCCCUUGGGUCGUAAAGCUCUGACAGAGGGAAAGAAAUGUGGGUGGCUAAUAUCCAUUCCACUUGACGGUACCCUCAAAGGAAGCACCGGCUAACUCCGUGCCAGCCGCCGCUGUAAAAC
rnacentral:rRNA from 1 species